rnacentral:rRNA from 1 species
UGGGGAAUAUUGCACAAUGGGGGAAACCCUGAUGCAGCAACGCCGCGUGAGUGAAGAAGUAUUUCGAUAUGUAAAGCUCUAUCAGCAGGGAAGAAGAUGACGGUACCUGAGUAAGAAGCCCCGGCUAACUACGUGCC